AUGUAUUGUGACAUUUUUUAAUUUCAGGAUAUUGCUAUACUUUUGUACUUCUGUGCAUCACUAACAGCAGGUAAAUGACGGAACGGAAUGAAUAUUGCUGAAAAGUAAUGUAGUGUUGCAUAGCAGACUAAAAUGUUAUUGAUAACAGCAUUACAUAUUGUGAGCAAAAGUUGAGUCCUUGUCUUGGACCCAUUUGAACUGAAAACAUUAAUCUCAUGUAUUGUAUUUCUAUUGCAUUAGACUGCGUUGGGUUAACUUUGGAGACCUAAUGUUCUAUCUACUUGUCUCCUACAGACUUCUCUUGGCGGCCCUACAUUUCAACAGUAAUGGCAGAGAUGUAGCUCGAACCAGUGAGGGUGAGGCACGCUACGCCGUUAGCUACCCGUGGUUUCGGAAAGGUGGCUAGGUAGUCCGCCCCAUCAAGGAGAAACCAUCUUAUGGAUACGCAACAAAUCGUAUGGUCUCUCUGGUAGAGGAAUACUCUAGAUCACCACAGGCCGGACAAGGAAGCAGUAGUGUCUUGUCUUCUGCUGCCCCGCCCCCCCUCACCACUUCCCUCCAGAAGGUUGCCAAGGAUGAGGCAGUCAGCCUUACUGUAUUGGUGUAGAAAAGCUGGUUCUUUAAAUUAGUUAAAUUAUUUUUGCUCAAAACCUACUCUGGUCUGCUGGCUUGGAGAGGGCCAUGCUCCUGUCUGAAGUUCAUGUAAGCUAUCUGCAGCACAAAAUGAUUCAGACAGGAGGCUUCAAACCCUGGAUGGAGUGUGAGGCAGGCAAUAUCUUCUGGGGGAUCUAGGUUUUGGACAAGGGAACAAUAGGCGUCAAUCUCCCUACUGCACACACUCUCCACUGCUGACGGCAUAGCCUCACAUCUACCACACAAGCACCUGUUAAACAAAAUGUGGCAAGAUAAACUCACUCUCCUUCCCUCCUUGUAGCUCUAAUAGUUGGUGUAAGGCCUUGUAAGAAAUGACAUGUAGACUACUUAUUUCCUAAAGCUUAGGUAAGUGAGAUACACCAUCCCUCCAUUUAGGCACAGUAUAGGCACUCAAUUAGAUGCAAUUUCUCUGCAUGCCUUACCUUGCCUUAUCUCUGCAUGUGACAAUAAAAUAUCCUUGUAACAAUGACGAUAUUUACAUGAACAGCAUAUUCCCGUCCUAAUCGGAACACUAACUGCUUUCAGACACGUCCUCUGCAGUACUGUAUGCUAUCUCAUUUACAGCUAUAGCUAAAGCUAUAGCCUCCAGCAUUCAUUUAACAUCUGGGAUCUAAAAUAAAAAAAUGAAGGCACAUGUUGCUGGUGACAAUCUACAUGGAUGCUUAAAAAAAGUCGACUGCAAUAUUGCUAAAUAUAUUACAAAUACUGCAAUGUGAUAAACAUAAAGACUUUAGCCACCAUUAGUUAUAGCCUGUGGACACUCACCAAGACACCUGCCCAAUUCUCGAUUCCUACAGGCUGCAGCGAGACCUUACUCAGGGGACGGGUUGUAGAGCAAGUCUACCACCCGCUUCCCCCAGAUGGAGCCAGUAAGGACAUUGGAGCUGCUGCCAAUUAAGGAAAUGCAUAGCACCUCAGGAGCAGGUGGAAAAGCAGGGCUGAAAUAGCCUGCUUCUCCACUCAUUCAGGGCAUGUAGCUCAUGUUAGCUUACUGUAGGAUACAGCAUUGGUAUUUGAUGCCUUUAGCGUUUCAAAAUCAUUUGUGCCUGAAAUUCUACUGUGUGGUUAACAUUAAAAGUCAACACCAAGUUUUAUUUAUUUGAUUUAUUAAAAGCAUACCCAUGGGGUUUUAUACAAAAUAGGAUGUGUCCAAAUCACCAUGUAGCUAUAUAUAUAUUGUAUCUCAAUCCCGGGGUUACAUUGAACAAAAAUAUCGGAUCAAACCCACUAAGAAAUGUUUCUUGGACAAAAUAGAUUUACAAAAAACGUUUUCAUUGAAAGUGCAUUGCCUGAUAAGAGCAUAAUAAAGCAAUAGUAUGAGCAGUAACUGUGGGGGCAUAUCAGGUGAUGUAUUAUUGGUCCUGAAUAGAAUCCCACAAAACCUGUGCCUUCUGGUCAGCAGUAGUAGAGCAAAAUACAUUUAUCAAAAAGUGCUACAGCAUAUAUAAAAAAACAAACUUCACUUAGAAAUAAACAGCAACCAUGAGUCUCCUGACAAUGUCGGAUCAUAGCAAGAAGAUAAACAGAAAUAAAUCAUUUAUAAAACUCAACAAUUUAGCGUUCUUAUUCUGAACGUAAAAAUGAAAGACGGUUUUGUUGAACGACCAUUUGAAAAGCAAAAAAAAAACUUAAACCAACUGUUCUUCUCUUCUUUUAGCUGUUCAUGUUGGAUCAUCAUCAUUCUUAUAAUAUAUUCUGGUGAGUGCAUGUUUUCAAUAGGUCAACCACCAGAACAUCCAACGCAUGUCGAUGCUCAGAAACACCAUCAAAACCAUUGUUUACUUGUCACAUGUCCAGUUUAGCUG